CAUCAGACUGCACACUGUAAUGACAGCCCGGAUUCCUCUGGUCUCCCUCAGAAUACGACGCUUCCUCUUGAUGUUUGUGGCAAGACAGCUAUGAGGGCAUCUUGAAAGGCGGUCUUUCUUUUUGUAGCAACAUGUAGAGUUUAUUUAACUUUUCAUCCUGCCUUUAGCGUUUUCGUUAUUUGGUGUAUUGCUGUUGUGGAUAAAACCAUAGCACAAAAAUAUGAGUUUUGUGCGUGGGGUAUUUUUUCCUUACGAUAAAAAUAGCCUACAUUCAUCCGUAACUUAAACGCAAUUCUGAAUAUAACUACAAAAGUUAACUAAUCGUGGAUGUAGUCAUGGGGGUAAACUUGAACUUGCGAUAUCUAAACCAUUAACGUUUGGAUGAAUUGUUUAGCAUGAGAGCAGGUGAGUCAGUCUUCGUGUUUGUCUAGUGAGGCGACGCGCGCAUUGCCCACGGAUAGAACGAAGCCAAGUGUUGGAGAACGGUGGAGAACGGCGCAGUGAUCAGCGGUGAUCUGUGCUGGGGAUUACGCCUCCGAACACUGGGGAAAAACCAGGCACGCCGAUAUGGGUUCUAAGCUGUGUGAUGGACGACUGGCGCACCUCCCACUCCUCCUGCUCCUCGUCCUCCAGGCCCUGCUGCUGCUCUGCUCUGGUGAACGCACCUGCCCCCACAGCUGCCGUUGUGAGGGGAAAAUCGUCCAUUGCGAGUCAGCUGGCUUCUCAGAUGUCCCUGAGAACAUCUCAGUGGGCUGCCAAGGCCUCUCUCUCCGCUACAAUGACCUGCACACACUGCUCCCCUACCAGUUUGCCCACCUCAACCAAAUCCUCUGGCUCUACCUGGACCACAACCAGAUCUCUGCUCUAGAUAGCCGGGCCUUCCAGGGGGUCCGCAGGCUUAAAGAGCUGAUCCUCAGCUCCAACAAGAUCUCUCAGCUCCACAAUGCCACCUUCCACGGAGUGCCCAACCUCCGCAGCCUGGACCUGUCCUACAACAAGCUGCAGAUGCUGCAGCCGGGGCAGUUCCACGGCCUGAGGAAGCUGCAGAACCUCCACCUCCGCUCAAACGGCCUCACCAACAUCCCCAUCCGGGCCUUCCUGGAAUGUCGCAGCCUGGAGUUUCUGGACCUGGGCUACAACCGUCUCCGGGCCCUCACCAGGACCACUUUCCUGGGGCUGCAGAGGCUCAUGGAGCUGCACCUGGAGCACAACCAGUUCUCCCGGAUCAACUUCUUUCUGUUUCCACGUCUUGCUAACCUGCGGGGGCUCUAUCUGCAGUGGAACCGCAUCCGAGCAGUCAACCAGGGCCUGCCCUGGAGCUGGCACACGCUGCAGAAACUGGACUUGUCUGGCAACGAGAUCCAGACCCUGGACCCAGCCGUAUUCCACUGCCUGCCCAACCUACAGAUCCUCAAUCUGGAGUCCAACAAACUGUCCAACGUGUCCCAGGAGGCAGUGUCUGCCUGGAUAUCCCUGACCUCCAUCAGCCUGGCGGGUAACGUGUGGGAAUGUGGGACAGGCAUCUGCCCACUGGUGGCUUGGCUGAGAAACUUUCGAGGCGCUAAAGACACCACCAUGAUAUGCAGCAGCCCAAAGCAUCUCCAGGGAGACAAGAUCAUGGAGGCUACGAGGAACAAUGGAAUUUGUGAGGAAACAGACUACUUCCAGACAGAAACUCCUUCCCCGACACCAGAUUUCAUUGAGACAACACCCGACCCAACCCCUGCUCCCACCAGCCCCCCUCCACCCCUGCCUCCACCUACCACCCUGGCCCCCCUGCCCCCACCUCGGCCUCAGCCCCUUCCCCGCCCGACCUUCCCAAGCCGGGUAGGAAUUGAUCCCAGAGACUCCCCUCCCCAGGCUCCACCCUCCCUCCGCAGCCUGGUGGUGACUCAGCCCCCAGAGCUGGAGCUCAUGUCCUUCCACAAGGUAGUGGUGGGCAGUGUGGCGCUCUUCUUCUCCAUGUCGCUCAUCCUGACCGUCAUCUAUGUGUCGUGGAGGCGCUACCCGAACGCUGCACGACUCCUGCAGCAGAGCUCCGUGGUGGGCCGCAAGCGACGGAAAAAGAGCCCCGAGCCAGAGCAGAACCUGAGCUCCCAGCUGCAGGAAUAUUACAUGAGCUACAACCCGGCUGCCACCCCGGAGGGUUUGGAGGUGCUCGGCAACGGGACUGGGUCCUGCACCUGCAUCUCUGGCUCCAGGGAAUGCGAGGUAUGACCCGUCACAUCAGCCUUUAAAAACAAAACCCCAAAAGCAAAAACACAAAGGCUCAAGAAAGAGAGAAUGAAUACACGUGUCCCCGACCAUUGCCUGGAGCUUGGCUUGGAGACGUUCCCACCAUUCACUAGAAGAUGCAUGUUUAACCAGCCCAUUGCGAACUAGCAGAGGAAUCAGGCCCUACAACACUACAGCUUCUCCAUUACUGUCUGUUCUGAUCCUACAGUGGCACUCUCUAAAUGUCUACAGUAUGCCUCCACGAGCCCAUUGACAAUCUAAUAUAGGAGCAAGAAUGACUUUCAUGAUUUCUAUCCCACUGAAUAUUUAUGUUUUCUUUUCUUUUAAAAGGUCUCUAUACUCUUUCUGACUGGUUCUCAGCUGCCCUGGGACAGUGUUCAUCCAGCUAUGACCUAGGUUGCUGUUAACGCACCGGCCACUUUAACCCUUUGAUUAGCCAAUUGUGCUAGUCCAGAUUGAGGGGGGUUGAAACACUUUGCGUCUACAGCACCCCUCUGACCGUUGCCACGGAAACUUGGGACUCUGACUUGGCGUGUGACACAAUGAGCAGUGGAACCCUGUCACUCUGCUGGAGGCUGGCGAUGUGGAAAUGGGCUGUGGAGCUUACGGAACAUUACAUCUAAUGAAGGUGACAAGUGGACAGGGCUGUGACCGCCCAGACAUUUCACAGUGAAGUUUCAGCCCAGCCAUUUCCAUGAUUUUUCUUUGCUGUUGAACAACCCAUUAUUUGCAGCUGUGGUUUCAAAAAAUAUGAACAAUUUCUAUUCCGUCGAGACAGCUACAAAAUAAGCUAUCCGCUGAUUUGCGGCUCAGAAGUAUUUAUGUGUAUUUUGUUUGCUUUAUAAGUUUACAGUGUGCACCUGUCUGUUGAGUAAUAUUUGAGUUAAGCUGUCAUUGUUCAUCUAGUCCCCUGGGGAGCUGGAGGUCGUUUUCUAAAAGGUCUGAGGAUCUACUCUGGAGAACAACUGGUCCUCUUGCCAAUCACACCUGGUGGAGGACUCAGUCUAUUCCCAGACACACAGACAACUGUAAUUACACACCUUGGCCCAUAAUCAGGCCAGGAAAUAAAAUAAAAAGGUAAACCUGAGUCUCAAACUUCUCAACUGGAGUAUAUGUCUAUUUCAAGAACAAAAAAUCUGCCGUCUCUCUCCGACAACAAAAGCCUUUAGGGGUGGGUGUUUUGAGUGUCUCUGGGCUCUAUUCAGUCAGAGUGAUUUUAAAUUUAAAGGCAAUGUUCCCACGUUAGUUUAGACUGCAUUCACGGUAAACACUGCAUAUGUCGACUCAAUCCUAAAUUACCUUUACAUUGUCAUUGUGCAAUCUGUAACGCUUCAGCAAUACAGAUUGAAUCCAGCCCUCUGUCUCGUGGGGACUGGGGAGGACUCUCUCUGUGGUUGUUCUGUCACAUUAAGCGAGGACCAGACGAUUUCACAGUGAAACCAUUUCAAAGCAGAGUUCCCUCUGGGAUAAUACUCACUGAUAUGAGACUAUUGCCAUAGGGUCAGAGCACUAGAGGGACAGAUGUGCUAUAUCCAAUCAGCUCUUUUGUUUGUGUGUGUGUGUGUGCGUGCGUGUGUGUGCGUUCAUUCGUUGGAAUGAUGAACGUUCCACAGAGGAUUCCUUGGAUUCCUCUGUAAUCUUUGAAGAUGGACGAAGCCUCAACUCUCUCCUGUUCUUAUAGUACUACAGUGCUCUUCUGCCAAAUCAACGUGCGUGUCUGUGUGGGUGGGUGGGUGUGUGUGUGUGUGUAUCUGUCGCGUGUCUUCAUGCAUGAGUGUGUUUGCAUUUCUUGAUAGUGUGUUUGAGCAAGAUACAGUAUUAUGUACGUGUGCCACAAAUACAGUUCAUGCCACUUCUAACAACUUAUGAGUAACGCUGAAUACGUGACAUCAAAAUCUCCUUAAAAGGUUAUGUCAAAUCCCAUUUAACACUAGAACCGCUGAGCAUCUCAGCGUACAAGUACACUCUUAAAAAAAAAGAAAGUGCUAUCUAGAACCUAAAACGGUUGUUCGGCUGUCCCCAUAGGAGAACCCUUUGAAGAACCCUUUUUGGUUCCAGGUUGAACCCUUUUGGGUUCCAUGUAAAACCAUUUCCACAUGGAACUCAAAAGAGUUCUACCAGGACAAAAAGGGUUUUCCUAAGGGCACAGCUGAAGAAGACUUUUAAGUGUACCCGCUAGAGAACGGUGACCCGCUAGAGAACGGUGACCCGCUAGAGAACGGUGACCCUCUAGAGAACGGUGACCCUCUAGAGAACGGUGACCCUCUAGAGAACGGUGACCCUCUAGAGAACGGUGACCCUCUAGAGAACGGUGACCCUCUAGAGAACGGUGACCCUCUAGAGAACGGUGACCCGCUAGAGAACGGUGACCCGCUAGAGAACGGUGACCCUCUAGAGAACGGUGACCCUCUAGAGAACGGUGACCCUCUAGAGAACGGUGACCCUCUAGAGAACGGUGACCCUCUAGAGAACGGUGACCCGCUAGAGAACGGUGACCCGCUAGAGAACGGUGACCCUCUAGAGAACGGUGACCCUCUAGAGAACGGUGACCCUCUAGAGAACGGUGACCCUCUAGAGAACGGUGACCCUUUGAGAUUCAUCUACUGUUAUGUUAUCAACCUAAAUACCUGUAAAUACCAACAUAAAACCUACUUCAACAUGUAUUUUAAAUACAUUUUAUCAAUUAGAUUAGUAGUAAGUAAUAGAAUCCAUGAUCAGAUUAUUUUUUACAAAGGACAUUUAAAACAUUCUGACAGCUGAGCAAUGUAAAAUACAAAUAUGAAGGGAAAGUCAGCGAAGAAGCAGGAUGUUGCUUUAUUUUAAUUACAAAAUCAAAUGGCAGUGGGCGUUGCCCUUUGGCAGUUCCAGUGUUCAAAGGAUGUCUUACAUUUGAGUGUGCUUGUGUGUACAGAGAGAUUGAGAGGGAUGGGGGAGUCAUUAGUUUCACCUGUUUUGUUCUUCGUAUGUGUUCAAAAUGGGGUUGAGCUUGGAGGUGUUUUCCUCGCCAAAAGAGUAUUAAUGGAUUUCUACACUGAAAAGAUAGCUAUUUUGUACUGUAUAUUUCUGCUUUCUCCCCCCGAACAUUUUAUAAUUAACUGUACUAUUUGUUCACUGAAAACUGUUCUGUUUUAUAAGAAAAUGAUGUCUGAGUCAAUGGUGAGCAAUAUAAAUUGAUAAAAUGGAAAUGUCAUUGAUCCUUUUUUUCUACCAUACUGUAAUGGAAACCAUAUACAUUUGUUACGGAGCUGUUCUCCAGCAUAUGGAUUUUCAGGGUGUACAUUAAAUAAUAAAACUGAAGGAAACGUGAGCAUGAGCACACCAACUAGAGAAAGUGUGAGUAGUCUUUGGAUGAGCUUGUGUGUCUGUAUGGUGUGUGUAUGCGUGCGUCUGCCUGUGUAUGUCCAUACGCAGUUAUUACAGAUGUAUGAAGUUGUACGAUGAACUCGAUGCACCUGCUAACUAGCAAAAGACCAAGACAUCAGCACUCUUCACAAGACAUGAGCGUUACUGAUCGUACAAAUGACUGGCUGCCGCACAGUAUGCUUAUUUGUAAGUUUGGUCUGAGUUUAUGCUUGAUAGAGUCCAUUCUAUUCCACACACAUCUCUCCUGUCACAUCACCAUUAGCUUAAUUAAUUUUGGAGCAUUGACUUCUGUUCGACCGUAUACUGUGACACACCAUGUGCACCGCUUCGCUGCACCAACCGCUUUACGCUCCAUGUACCAUAGCAUAGCUUUUCUCAAGAGGGGGCCAAGUUUGUGAAUUUGCUCCCGCGUUUAGCUGCUCUUGAAACG